rnacentral:rRNA from 1 species
AGAGUUUGAUCCUGGCUCAGAGCGAACGCUGGCGGCAGGCUUAACACAUGCAAGUCGAACGGGCGUAGCAAUACGUCAGUGGCAGACGGGUGAGUAACGCGUGGGAACGUACCUUUUGGUUCGGGACAACACAGGGAAACUUGUGCUAAUACCGGAUAAGCCCUUACGGGGAAAGAUUUAUCGCCGAAAGAUCGGCCCGCGUCUGAUUAGCUUGUUGGUGAGGUAAUGGCUCACCAAGGCGACGAUCAGUAGCUGGUCUGAGAGGAUGAUCAGCCACAUUGGGACUGAGACACGGCCCAAACUCCUACGGGAGGCAGCAGUGGGGAAUAUUCGGACAAUGGGCGAAAGCCUGAUCCAGCCAUGCCGCGUGAGUGAUGAAGGCCCUAGGGUUGUAAAGCUCUUUUGUGCGGGAAGAUAAUGACGGUACCGCAAGAAUAAGCCCCGGCUAACUUCGUGCCAGCAGCCGCGGUAAUACGAAGGGGGCUAGCGUUGCUCGGAAUCACUGGGCGUAAGGGGUGCGUAGGCGGGUUUCUAAGUCAGAGGUGAAAGCCUGGAGCUCAACUCCAGAACUGCCUUUGAUACUGGAAGUCUUGAGUUCGGGAGAGGUGAGUGGAACUGCGAGUGUAGAGGUGAAAUUCGUAGAUAUUCGCAAGAACACCAGUGGCGAAGGCGGCUCACUGGCCCGAUACUGACGCUGAGGCACGAAAGCGUGGGGAGCAAACAGGAUUAGAUACCCUGGUAGUCG